CGUGACGCACACAACGUCAUUUCUUGAUAACCAAAAUGGAGGACUACUCAUCCAAGCAAUCAGUUGAAAAUCUUGACAAUCCUCCUAACAGUCGCUUGUUUCUCGUAACAAGUCGAUCAGUUUCAGAUGAUGUUAUUCGAGAGAAAUUUUCUGUAUUUGGAGAGGUCCAAGGUGUAUGGGUCGUUAAGGACAAACAGACGAAAGAAUCGAAGGGGAUCUCCUAUGUUAAAUUCGCGAAGUCUUCGGAAGCAUGCACCGCAAUGGAGGACAUGCAUGGAAAAUGCCUGUUAGACGGAACAAAGCCCAUUAAGGUGUUCAUUGCCCAGUCAAGGUCCUCUGGUAGACACAGAGAUGUGGAGGAUGAAGAGCUCACCAGAAUAUUUAUAAAGAUUCCCAAAACAUUCACAGAAGAAGAUCUGAAAGACACAUUCAAGGAGUAUGGGGACAUAGAAUACUGUGUGAUCAUAAAGAAUAAAACCACAGGGGAGAGCAAAGGCUUGGGAUAUGUGAGGUAUCAUAAGCCAUCACAAGCAGCCAUUGCCAUUGAGAACUGUGAUAGAGCCUACAGGGCUGUUCUUGCUGAGCCCCGAAGCAAGAACUCAUCUGCAGAUAAUGACUAUCACAGCAGUGGCAGAGCAGAGCACAUGUCAAGUGACCUGGGAAUGAACCCCUAUUCCUUUGGAGUGUCUGACCCUGGCAGUUAUGCCGUAACUGACUACCGAUCCAGUGACCUCAUCACCAGGUGCCUAAUGGUAUCCUCGAGAGCUAGUGUUACCCAGGAGCAGAUUUAUGGCCUCUUUGACCUCAUACCAGGGAUGGAUUACUGUGAGAUGCAGCGGGAUCAUUGUGGGCUCAACAAAGGACAUGCUGUGAUUCGCUACAACAACCUGGGAUCUGCCCUCUACGCCAAAGAGAAGCUGAAUGGCUUUGAGUAUCCCCCUGGAAACCGCCUCAUCGUGGCCCACAUAGAGGAUGGAGAAGACAGGACCAGUCCUGUCGGGAAGAUGGCAAUGCAGCUGGUUGCUGCUCAGAUGAUGUCAAUGGUGUGGAAUGGUCCUACCACCAGCCAGCAACUGAUGAAGAUGAGCACAGGUUACCGCACAGCCUCUCCGAUGCCCCGCGUCCAGACAGAUGUAUCACUUCCCUCCCUGAAGAACCUGGCACCCCCAGAUAGCCGGGUUAAGGAGCGUCUCUUUGUGGUCUUCAGCCCUGCACCUCUUCCCAUGGACGUCCUGGAAGAUGUCUUCUGUCGAUUUGGUUCCCUUGUGGAGGUGCACCUCGUGCCUGGGAGGAACGUAGGCUACAUGAAGUACGCAGAGAAAGAGAGUGCGGGCGACGCUAUGGCUGCUUUGCAUGGUAAAAUGGUGAACGGCGUGAGGAUGAAGGUGAUGCUGGCUGACCCGCCCAGGGAACCAAGGGAGGAGUCCCACAAGCGCCCGCGGACAUACUAGCCAAUUCCUAGGUAAAAGAGGUCCAUUGUCACUAAUAUGUGGUGUUGAAGUUUGUCUCUGCUCAGCUGACAGACAGGAGAUACAGGGAUCCAUUCUGUUCCAAAUUAUGCUGAUGCCCCAUUGUAAGAACCUGGAGAUCUUCACUGGUUCUGAGGGAGGUGAUGUUGCUACAAACAAUGCCUGGGACAGCUUCCAGCCCUACUGUUAUCUGGAGAACAGCCAGAGAGUGGUCAAGACAUCUGCCACAACUCCAUCUUUAGUGUGUCAGCUCUGCUGCACCUGGGCACUAAAGAUUGAUCUGGCUUGAUGAUAACAUCUGAUCUGAUGAGACUCCCGAUGUGAUUUGACUCCUGUAUUAAUGACUUCAAUAAAACUUCCAAUGCCAAAUUGA